UACGAAGGGGGCUAGCGUUGUUCGGAAUUACUGGGCGUAAAGCGCGCGCAGGCGGUCUUCCAAGUCAGUGGUGAAAGCCCGGAGCUCAACUCCGGAACUGCCAUUGAAACUGUAAGACUUGAGGAUGAGAGAGGUGAGUGGAAUUCCCAGUGUAGAGGUGAAAUUCGUAGAUAUUGGGAAGAACACCGGUGGCGAAGGCGGCUCACUGGCCCGGUACUGACGCUGAGGCGCGAAAGCGUGGGGAGCAAACAGG
rnacentral:rRNA from 1 species